ACGGGAGGCAGCAGUGGGGAAUAUUGGGCAAUGGGGGAAACCCUGACCCAGCAACGCCGCGUGAAGGAAGAAGGCCUUCGGGUUGUAAACUUCUUUUACCAGGGACGAAGAAUGACGGUACCUGGAGAAAAAGCAACGGCUAACUACGUGCCAGCAGCCGCGGUAAUACGUAGGUUGCACGCGUUGUCCGGAUUUACUGGGUGUAAAGGGCGUGUAGGCGGAGCUGCAGGUCAGAUGUGAAAUCCCGGGGCUCAACCCCGGAACUGCAUUUGAAGCUGUAUCUCUUGAGUGUCGGAGAGGUAGAUGGAAUUCCUAGUGUAGCGGUGAAAUGCGUAGAUAUUAGGAGGAACACCAGUGGCGAAGGCGAUCUACUGGACGAUAACUGACGCUGAGGCGCGAAAGCGUGGGGAGCAAACAGGAUUAGAUACCCUGGUA
rnacentral:rRNA from 1 species